rnacentral:rRNA from 1 species
AGAGUUUGAUCAUGGCUCAGGAUGAACGCUAGCGGCAGGCUUAAUACAUGCAAGUCGAGGGGCAGCGGGGGUAGCAAUACCUGCCGGCGACCGGCAAACGGGUGCGGAACACGUACACAACCUUCCUUAGAGUAUGGGAUAGCCCAGAGAAAUUUGGAUUAAUACCACAUAGUAUAUUGGGAUCGCAUGAUUUUGAUAUUAAAGAUUUAUCGCUUUAAGAUGGGUGUGCGUAUGAUUAGGUAGUUGGUGUGGGUAACGGCCCACCAAGCCUUCGAUCAUUAACUGGUGUGAGAGCACGACCAGUCACACGGGCACUGAGACACGGGCCCGACUCCUACGGGAGGCAGCAGUAAGGAAUAUUGGUCAAUGGACGAAAGUCUGAACCAGCCAUGCCGCGUGAAGGAUGACGGCCCUCUGGGUUGUAAACUUCUUUUAUAGGGGGCGAAAAAAGGGCAUUCUUGCUCGUCUGACGGUACCCUAUGAAUAAGCACCGGCUAACUCCGUGCCAGCAGCCGCGGUAAUACGGAGGGUGCAAGCGUUAUCCGGAUUCACUGGGUUUAAAGGGAGCGCAGGCGGAUUGAUAAGUCAGUGGUGAAAUACCUGAGCUUAACUCGGGAACUGCCAUUGAUACUAUUGGUCUUGAAUAUUGUUGAGGUAUGCGGAAUGGGUCUGUAGCGGUGAAAUGCAUAGAUAUGACCCGGAACACCAAUUGCGAAGGCAGCAUGCUAAACAAAGAUUGACGCUGAGGCUCGAAAGCGUGGGGAUCAAACAGGAUUAGAUACCCCAGUAGUCC